GUGGGUGUGGCUCGGUUGGUAGAGCGUUCGCUUAGCAGUUCCGCAUUUAGAAAUUACAUCUGUGGAGUUCUUGUCAGGGGAUUACUGCGAAAGGUCCUGAGUCCGAUUCCCAGCUCCUCCA